AAAAAAAAGAAGGGGGGGGGGGGGGGAGGAAAAAAGCUUUUCUCCACUCCUCCUUGCACAGCCCUAUAAAAGUGAGCUGUGCUGUGUCGUGCUUGCAGGGACGGCAGUGCCAACCUCACCCCGCACAGGUUCCACUACCGCAACCCCUCCUGCUUAAUAACAACCGUAAUGCUGCGACUGCUCAGCACAAACAAGCAAACCCCUCCAACACCGGUGCUGUGCUUUGACUCCGGUGGUCUCUAAAAGCCGGUAUAAAUCCAGCUCAGCCUGCCUGAUCACACGGCCUCUGCCGUUUUAUGUCUUUAUUUAAAUAGAGCGUCAGACAUUCGUACAAUUGUCUGAUUUAAUAAAUACGCGGAGGAGAAACGCGGUUAUAAUGCGUUGCUUUGUUUGAGGAAUAUUAAAAAUAACCUUUAGUUUUAAUGAGAUUUUUUCCCCCCAUCAGUUUGCACAAUUUUCCAGAUGCAAAAUGAGCUUUUGGCUGUAAAAUAUUUUAUCACAUUGUCUUACACAAUAAAGAUUAGAUGUUUUCGCUCUCUCUCAACUCCACCGCAAUUAUUUUUUAGUGUUUGCAAAUCAUAAUAUCAUUUAAAAACCAUAUUUUAUACCUCAUCUAAAAUACUUUUAUAGCAGCACGAUGGAAAAAAAAAAAAAAAAAAAACAACCCAACACAACAUCUAUUUAACCACUCUUUUUAAGUGGCUGUAAUAUGCUUUGGUAUAAUUUCCCAGAAAAAGGCAUAGCUAAAAAAGCUUAGCUGUUCUUGAAAACAAAUCUCCCAAGAAGCAUCUUUGCAAAAAUCCCCAGAAUUUAAUUCCCCUGGCUGAAGAGCCCAGAGAGCCUGAAUAUAAAAAUAGUAGCCCUGUCAUUUCACAUUCAUUAAGUGUGAAACUCAGAAAUUAAUAAUGUAAAAAUAUGCUUUUUAAUUAGUCUUACAUUCUGCCCAAUGUACUUAAAUGGGAUCAGCAGCUCCCUAAUGAUUUUUUUCUUAAUAAAGUAUUAGCCUGUGAUGCACUGGGGUUGACAGGUAUGAUAAACUGGAAAGUACUUUUGGAGGCGUAUGAAUGAUACCAAAAUAGUACUCUCCCAUUUAAAUGUAAUUAACAUCAGGGAGCAAUAUUACACGAGGAGAAGCCUGCAAGAUUUUUAUUUCAGGGUAUUUUUUUUUUUUCAUUUCUUGUUUUAUGAGUAGUUUGAUGAUUGCAGCAGUGAUUUUAUAAUUUAAUUACCUUUGUUGAAAGCUAAGCUUUUGCUAAUAGCGGGUCAACAGGAUCAUAAAGCAGUCUUCAAAAAUAUUAAAAAGGAGGUAAAUCCCCUUAGCUAACCUACACAAUAACAACGUGGGCACGCGUGCGUAUGCGAUGCAUUUUAUAGACGUAUGUACAUAGACACUCGAAGCCUGUUCCCGUGUUAUUUGUUUACUGUGCUAUUUCAGAUCAGUAUUUACUCUCUGAAGGGACUUGUUAUGCAUUAAUCAGAUGCAAGGAAAAAAAUCAAGCAGGGAAGUUGCAGAGGCGCCCAGCCAGGGGCCGAGCUGUGCCAUCAAGGGCAGCACCAGUGCCCGCAGCAGCACCAGCCGGGGCCUUCCACCACCCCUUCCACAACUACUUUGUGCUUUUAUAUUUCUAAAGCAACCUAUUUUACUCUGGGAGAUAAAAGAUAGCUGUUGACCUGUGCUGCUUGUGCAAGAGUAUUCCCUAUCUUAUUUAUAUGCCAAAUGUCACUUGUGUUUAUUUAAGAAUUUUUGCUCAUACCUCCUCGUCGUGGUGCUCCCCAGUGAUGCGCUUUCCACACAGUCAACAAGCCAGCAGUGUCCCACCAUCCGCUGGAGCUUCCUGCUUGGAACAGCACCUUCCCUAGCACACAUGGGCACUUCUAUAUCCACACACUUCCAUGUGGCUCCAUGCCGAGCACACUGGGUGAUGCCCUCCCAGUGGGAGCUGCUGGGACACCAAGGUGCUGUAGCACUUGCCUAGCAUUUCCUCCAAUUCCUGUCUCUGCCAAUGAGUGGCCUCUUUUUUUUUUUUUUUUUCACCCCAGUGUUGAGUUGGAAUAAAUACAAAGUUGGAAUAAAUAAAAAAUUAGAAGCAGCAGACUUAACCAGCCCAACCUCUGGCUAGAUGCUAGCCUGGUAACCUGGAGUGAAAGGGACUUCCAUACUGCUAUCAAUUUUCAUUUGGUUUAUAUGAAAAUAGCCAAUCCAGGAGGAAAGUGGACAACAAAAAAUCAGUUCAUUUUUUCCAUUCUUCUGUUACAAAUGCAUCCUUCAGGACUGAUCCAGGAGACAGCUGCUGAAUAUCCCAGCUGAACUGGAAGGUCUUAUGGCAAAUGGGAACAUCAUCCAGUGUCUGAAUGGCUGAGAGAUGAGAUCAAACCCUUCAUACGAGAGCAUUGCCCAUGUACGAAGUGCCAUCUCAUUAUUCCAUAGUCCUGGGGCAGCACUGGGGCCACAGGUGGCCGGCCAGUGGCAGAACCACAAGGGAACACACCUGAGUAUAGGCAAUCCCUACAGGAUUUCCCCUGCUUUGGUAACUUCCAACAUCCUUUAAAAAUGUGAUCAUGAAAUGCUAUUUCUUCUCUAUUUAUCUUGGCGCUACAAAACUGCCUAACUAUUGGCUCUACGUGAGCUCUUUUAUAAUAUUUUUCCAAUCACAAACACCAUUGCAUUGUUCCCUUGGGAUUUCCUUGAUGGAUCUAUCUAUCUAUCUAUUUAUGCGUUCAUGAAUCAAAUCAUUGGAGUGAUGAAAGUUUGUAUAAUCUACAGCUUUCAUAAGAUUUCACUGAACUUGUACUUCAGGGUGAUUUCCAGGAGUGUGACGCUAUGCGCAUCCCUCUGGGUGAACAUUGAACACCUCUUCUCUUCCCAUGGAAUUUACUGUGCUGUCAAAAAUGCCCAGCAAGCUCACUCCAAAAUCAAACCUUAAAAUACAUGUCCAGCUCUGAGCCUGCAAUGGGAGUUUCAAGAGCAGAGAUGUUUUAAUGUGAAGCUGAAUCAAAAAAAUAACCAUCAGAACUGUCCUCCUGCACACACACACGCUGGAAAUUUUAUUACUGAGAUAUUUGGGGCUUUCCUGAUAGAGAAUAAAAGACAAAUAAUCAAACUCACUGGAAAAUAUUUACGUAGGGCCACAGAGUGCAAACCUUAGGAAAGCUGAGCGGUAUUUACUCCUGGGUAUAGUUCUGGUGCAGACACCGCAGUGCACAGCGCUUGCCCGUCCGGGGAUUUGGGGAGAGUUUGUCUGAGUCAGACAUGCAGGCAAUGGCCCCACACUGGGGCAUCAUAAUGCUUUAAUUAAUUAAUGUCUGUAAACUGUUUGGUGAUCUCGGGAUGAAAGGAGUUCUAGAAAUGCCAGGUAUUAUUGAAAAUUAAUUACUCCAGCCUUUCCCCCAAAUCUUGCUAAACAUAUUUCAUUUUUUAAUCUAUCCUGCUGCUUAAAUAAAGCUCACUGCAGAAUUAUUUUCUGUUAAAUAUCAAAGAAAAUAAAGAGGGUGCCAUCUAAGCAGCAGAUCGAGCUGCCGUGCAAGGCGUUUUGGGCAGGCAGGGACAUGAGACACGGGUGUGUUGGGGCAAGGUGACCAAGCCAAGGCCAAGCACUUGUGCAGUGCUGGAGGAGCACCAGAAGACCAAGCUGCGGGAGAUGCGGAACUCAUUUGGGAGAUCCAAGGGCAGAACAAGCUGUUCCAGCCACCGCCGAGUGCUCCUGCCGGCAAAUCAAUCGCUCUAAAUGCUAUUCAUCAUUCAAUCAAAGGGAGACAGAACGUGUAUAUUAUUUAUACAAGUCUAAAAUCAUUUUGUGUUACUUACUGAAGAGUCACCUUCUGCAUCAUCGUGAAGCAAAAGGGAGGACUUGGAAGGGAUUUCAUGCACCAGACCCAGCAGGCAUAUUCAUGGUCAAAGCAAGAAAUGGUCAAAGCAAGAAGCUGCACAAAACAAACAAAGCAGAAGCUGUGACAGUAUUAUUCAAGGUUGCAGAUUUAUAUGCAUGCACUUUAAUUUAUAUAGUGUACAAAUUGAUGAUCUUGUUGUUGAUUAUAAGAGUUAAUCUUGUGAUCUGUCUCAGGCAUUAUAAGACCAUAGUAAUGUUGGAGCGCUUUAGUGGUUCUCCCUUCAGCAGGUCAACCCUUCCACUUUUUCAAGCAGACAAAGCCCAGAUCUAACACAGGUCUCCUAGGGUGCUCAGGGGCAAAAAAGAAUGAAGUAAUUCUUAUCUGCUUAGUUCCAGUAGAACAUGUUCUGAUCAAUUUUAACAAUGUAAGUUGUCUAUUCUGCAGACUAGUAAACACUGCAGUCAGCUGUCUUCUCCUGGAUUGUCCUACUCUGCUUCUCUUGUUGGAGCCACUUGGGUUUCCUGAGAUAAGGAAGUUACUGUAUUAGCAGGGCCUCCACAGCUGCUGCAGCCAGAGCAACCACCACCACUGGCCACUCCUCCUUCUCCUCUUCCUCCUCUUUCUUCUGCAACCCCAGCAAAUUGGCAGGAGGAGUGGGCUGUGUCUGAAAACACGUCCUCCAUCAUGGCUGAAUGGCGGUGGGAUCUCCACUGUUCUGCAACUUCUUCCCACCAGUUCUGGAAAAGAGGAAAUCCUUCUUUACUGUCCUGAAUCAAAUCCACAACUCAAGUCUCACCCAUUCCAAUUUUCAGAAAAAAAAAAAUGUUUUACCAAAUAUUGCUCUGGAUGCUUCCAACAGCGAACAGCAGAUGGGGCUACAGAAAUUGUCACAUUUAAAAAAAAAAUCAUAUGAGAAACAGCUUUUUACAUUCUGAAAAGCAAUUUAUUCUACACCAUUUCAAAAAAUAAAUAGGAUUCUCCUUUUCUGUUUUAAGACAUCAAUGAAUCUGUCGCAUAAUGGGCUUUUGUAAACCGAUUAUCCUUGAUAAUCUCAUUAGCUGAAAUUAUUUUACUUUUCUAACAUGGUAGAUUUUUAAAUACCUUUUAUUUCAUAUCCCCUUGGGCACGUUGCAGUGAAAUUUACUAUUAAGCAAAAUAAUUAUCUAUCUCAAACCUUAAUGCUAAAAAGUAAAAAUAAAAUAAAAUAAUUACAAAUCUAAGGGCAGAUAUUAGGAUGGAGAAAGUACAAGAAAACCCGCAACCAAGAAAACGAAAGAAAUUCUCCCAAGCAGGCAAAUCGCUCCUCUCCGUUGACAAAUGAGUCACUUUUUUAUCCUACAAGUAUUAAGGAUGAGAAAUAUUAAGGUAGGUGAGGCAGAGCUUGGCGCUGGGGUGCGGGAGGACCAUGUCGCUCCCAGCUCCCACUCACCAGGCUGCAACCUCUGCUACAGCCCCGCGCCAUCAUGAGAUGUGAGUUGUUUCCAAAGAAGCUUAAAUCUGCGUUUUACGUGUGGAAGUUUGCAGCUGUAAUGGGAUUACGGUGUCGGCAGAGGGAGGGAAGUUUGCAGCUGUACUGGUUUGGGGGGGGGUAGGAAGCAGCUGUUAAAAUAGAGGACUAAUGGUGAUUAAUUCUUAUUAUGUGUUUGAAGAUCGCACAAUGAGUUCAGGACCCAAACCUUCCCGCAGGGAAUAAACUGAAGGAGGAGGAUUUAAAAAGAGGGAAAAUAGAAGGGGAAUUUUAAUGUACGUUUGGCCUAAGUGGCCUGGUCUUAAAUCACUUGAUUAAUAUUUAAGCAUAAUUUAAAUCAGUGUUAUUAAGACAAAAAAAUAUCUAGCUCGGGAAACCUGUAAUUAAUGGGUGUUUAUGCAGAUUGGGAGAUCACCUGCACUCUUUCAAAAGUGCAUGCACAGGGACCAGACAGGAUGAAGACCCCAUCCCGCAUCCCAAUCUGUUCACGAGCCAUGGUCCAGCACUGAAGCUCCAGCAGCAGGAACAUCCCAACCUGACCUCAGCUCAGUGUACAGCCCCGGGGGAACCUGCUCCGUUUCCCACAUUCAGGGCAAUUCACAUCAGAGCCAGGUUAUUUGCUGCAAUAUUGCGUCUGAGUCCUACAGCCAGCUUGCAGAGAAAUGCAAUGUGCUGGGUAUUCUGAGGCUUCCCCAGAGCACAGCAGGUAGAAGAUAUGAGAUUUCUAUUUAUAUACUGCAGCCUGGCCAAGGAAGUGACAAUUUAACGGCAAAGGUAAGGGGAUGGGGUGUGAAGGUGCCUGCAAAGGCAGUGGUGCAGGCAGUGCAAGGUCCCCUGAGCUCCUGGGGGGCAGUGACCCACUUCGGACCAUGACGGGUCCCUGAGAGUGCCCGACCCUCUGUCUUCUCUCAGCUCAUUGACUUUGUGGCUUGACAACAUAGCAUGGCUCCUGCAGUCCUUUGGCAGAUCAAGAAAAACAAAGAAAAAUUAAAGAUGGUGAACAGCAGCUAUUAGGGUUGGAAGGGCAAACCUACAACAUGAAGAUCAUGUGGAUUCCACACUGGAGACCAAAAUAUCUCUUUUUACUCCUAGAUGAUGCAGAACUCGAGUUGGGAUAUUUUCAGCCAUGAGAACACUUUCACCUUAUUUCCGGGCUGUUUCUCCCUAAGGGCCGAAGUGGAGGUUCAGAAACUUCA
ensembl:lncRNA